rnacentral:rRNA from 1 species
UACGUAGGGUGCAAGCGUUGUCCGGAAUUAUUGGGCGUAAAGAGCUCGUAGGCGGUCUGUCGCGUCGGCUGUGAAAACUCGGGGCUCAACCCCGAGCCUGCAGUCGAUACGGGCAGACUAGAGUGCUGUAGGGGAGACUGGAAUCCUGGUGUAGCGGUGAAAUGCGCAGAUAUCAGGAGGAACACCGGUGGCGAAGGCGGUUCUCUGGGCCGUAACUGACGCUGAGGAGCGAAAGCAUGGGGAGCGAACAGG